AUUUUCAAGGUGAUAUGGUACCGCAAACAUAUGCCGGAAUGUUAGUCGGUGCAUUAUGUGCAUUAGCCGGUGUAUUAACUAUUGCAUUACCUGUGCCGGUAAUUGUAUCAAAU
rfam:Euroglyphus maynei isolate Arlian Lab scaffold25791, whole genome shotgun sequence.